CGCUGGCGGCGUGCUUAACACAUGCAAGUCGAACGAAGCAGCUUUCUUGCUUGCAAGAGAGUUGACUUAGUGGCGGACGGGUGAGUAACGCGUGGGUAACCUGCCUCAUACAGGGGGAUAACAGUUGGAAACGACUGCUAAGACCGCAUAACCCGCUAGUGUCGCAUGACACGGACGGAAAAUAUUUUAUAGGUAUGAGAUGGGCCCGCGUCUGAUUAGCUAGUUGGUAAGGUAACGGCUUACCAAGGCGACGAUCAGUAGCCGACUUGAGAGAGUGAUCGGCCACAUUGGGACUGAGACACGGCCCAAACUCCUACGGGAGGCAGCAGUGGGGAAUAUUGGACAAUGGGGGAAACCCUGAUCCAGCGACGCCCGCGUGAGUGAAGAAGUAUUUCGGUAUGUAAAGCUCUAUCAGCAGGGAAGAUAAUGACAGUACCUGACUAAGAAGCCCCGGCUAACUACGUGCCAGCAGCUGC
rnacentral:rRNA from 1 species